rnacentral:sRNA from 1 species
UGAAGUAUAAUUGCCAAUCGAAGUUAAAUAGGUCAGUUGUUGUUGUUGUUGUUGUAGCAGUGUGUUGUACACUGAGGCGGCAGCCCUUGCCGAUGGAUAACUCCAUCGGGUCAAUCCGGUACGUACAACCGGCUGCCAUGGGAUUGAAAUAGGUCAGUGAUGAUAGUCAGUGAUAAAAUUGUACAUGAAGAUGCAAUGAAAAGCGGAAAACGUUACACUGCGAAAAAUAAUUCCAGCAAUGAGCAACUCUAACUACCAAGGACUUCAUAUAAAUAGAAUUCCUAAUAAAUGGAAUCACUAUUUGCGGAUUUCCGGUAGACCUACUAAACACAAAGCUUUCAUACAGAGUAAGCGGUCGCCCAUAUUUGAUAUUUUAAGGAAAUCAUCAAAUGGACAACCUAGGAACUGCUGUACGUAAUUCGAAAUGUGGUCACGGCUAUCAACAUUAUGUCGUUAAAGGAAA